rnacentral:rRNA from 1 species
CAGGCUUAACACAUGCAAGUCGAGGGGCAGCAUGGUCUUAUCUUGCUAAGGCCGAUGGCGACCGGCGCACGGGUGAGUAACACGUAUCCAACCUGCCGUCUACUCUUGGACAGCCUUCUGAAAGGAAGAUUAAUACAAGAUGGCAUCAUGAGUCCACAUGUUCACAUGAUUAAAGGUAUUCCGGUAGACGAUGGGGAUGCGUUCCAUUAGAUAGUAGGCGGGGUAACGGCCCACCUAGUCUUCGAUGGAUAGGGGUUCUGAGAGGAAGGUCCCCCACAUUGGAACUGAGACACGGUCCAAACUCCUACGGGAGGCAGCAGUGAGGAAUAUUGGUCAAUGGGCGAGAGCCUGAACCAGCCAAGUAGCGUGAAGGAUGACUGCCCUAUGGGUUGUAAACUUCUUUUAUAAAGGAAUAAAGUCGGGUAUGCAUACCCGUUUGCAUGUACUUUAUGAAUAAGGAUCGGCUAACUCCGUGCCAGCAGCCGCGGUAAUACGGAGGAUCCGAGCGUUAUCCGGAUUUAUUGGGUUUAAAGGGAGCGUAGAUGGAUGUUUAAGUCAGUUGUGAAAGUUUGCGGCUCAACCGUAAAAUUGCAGUUGAUACUGGAUAUCUUGAGUGCAGUUGAGGCAGGCGGAAUUCGUGGUGUAGCGGUGAAAUGCUUAGAUAUCACGAAGAACUCCGAUUGCGAAGGCAGCCUGCUAAGCUGCAACUGACAUUGAGGCUCGAAAGUGUGGGUAUCAAGCAGGAUUAGAUACCCUGGUAGUCCACACGGUAAACGAUGAAUACUCGCUGUUUGCGAUAUACUGCAAGCGGCCAAGCGAAAGCGUUAAGUAUUCCACCUGGGGAGUACGCCGGCAACGGUGAAACUCAAAGGAAUUGACGGGGGCCCGCACAAGCGGAGGAACAUGUGGUUUAAUUCGAUGAUACGCGAGGAACCUUACCCGGGCUUAAAUUGCAGAUGAAUUACGGUGAAAGCCGUAAGCCGCAAGGCAUCUGUGAAGGUGCUGCAUGGUUGUCGUCAGCUCGUGCCGUGAGGUGUCGGCUUAAGUGCCAUAACGAGCGCAACCCUUGUUGUCAGUUACUAACAGGUUCUGCUGAGGACUCUGACAAGACUGCCAUCGUAAGAUGUGAGGAAGGUGGGGAUGACGUCAAAUCAGCACGGCCCUUACGUCCGGGGCUACACACGUGUUACAAUGGGGGGUACAGAGGGCCGCUACCACGCGAGUGGAUGCCAAUCCCAAAAACCUCUCUCAGUUCGGACUGGAGUCUGCAACCCGACUCCACGAAGCUGGAUUCGCUAGUAAUCGCGCAUCAGCCACGGCGCGGUGAAUACGUUCCCGGGCCUUGUACACACCGCCCGUCAAGCCAUGGGAGCCGGGGGUACCUGAAGUGCGUAACCGCGAGGAGCGCCCUAGGGUAAAACUGGUGACUGG